rfam:Beta vulgaris subsp. vulgaris contig130929.1, whole genome shotgun sequence.
GGGGCCGUAGCUCAAUUGGGAGAGCACUGGCUUUGCAAGCCAGGGGUUAGGGGUUCGACCCCCCUCGGCUCCA